GGUGUACGGGUCCAGCUUUGCGCUCGGUCAGAUCCUCUUUCUUUCAGAGACGCAGGAGACGCAGAGAGAAGCUGCGCUACUUUGUGACUGGGAAAUGGGACAAUUGCAGGAUGGAGGAGCAGCGGAGGCGCUGCUCGAGCCCGGACCGUACCAUGUUCACCAACGAGAGGGGGGUGACGGAGGGAGUCACUCAGCAGCUCAGUAGUAGUAGGGCCAGGCGUACGGGGGAAAAAAUGAGAGGAGGACGAUUUUUUAAAAAUCUUACAGGGCGUGAAUGAAGCCGAAAUGCCGAGAAACAAAGUUGAAAUAGUAUUUUGUCGAAAAUAAUUGUGACCCGGAAGCACUUUUCAGCAGCACCAAACGACCGGAUGUUGAUGUUUUGCGAGCCAAGUUUGCUAAGCUAACGCUAGCCGCUAACCGAGUCGUAAAGUUGCGAUAUUAUUAUUAUCGACAGGCUGAACCUGGAAGAAACGACGCGGUGACAACGGGUGUUUGCACAUGAACGUCGACGUGUGUCCCGACACGAUAACGUUCAACUGCACACGACCGUGGAUUGGUUUUUAAGAGGCGUGCAGUCACCGGAGCUAGCGUAGCUUUGCUAACAAAAAAGGACAAAACCCUGAAACCGUGCUCCGUCUGUGACCUUCCAGACUGUAAAGCUUGUAUCACAACGGAAAGGAGGGAGGAGGCAUCCAGCAGGUAUCCGCUCUCCACUGUAAUACUUUCCCAUCCGUCCAUAACCUCUGGGCAUACUUCAAUAAAGAAAUAUGAAGAACAUAAAUGCGCUUUUGUGAAAAUGUGUUUUUGCAGCCAUAUGCCGAACUUCAAUACAACAAAGACAAACAAACCCAGCAUAAAAACCCAGUGUACACAACUCUCUGAGUACAGAGACAUUCAGAGAUUUCCCUCAGGAGUUAGUCGACCCCGAAAAAAACGCACUCACAUUCGUCAUGUGGACAGAAACACGACUACAAACGAAAUACACUUGUGUAACUGUGCCACUGUGUUUGCUGAGAAGUUUAUCAUAAGGUGAUAAUAUGUCACUUCAGUGUUCACAGCUUGUUCUACUGCCCCCAAGUGGACGGGAAAAUGAUCUGUAACGUCAACAAGUUUGGUUGCAAAGCCCCAACCGAUACUGAUGUCAGGGUGUAAAAAUAAAAAUAUACACAAUG